rnacentral:rRNA from 1 species
UGGGGAAUUUUGGACAAUGGGGGCAACCCUGAUCCAGCAAUGCCGCGUGAGUGAAGAAGGCCUUCGGGUUGUAAAGCUCUUUCGGUCGGGAAGAAGGGAUUGGCGUUAAUAGCGUCGAGACUUGACGGUACCGACAAAAGAAGCACCGGCUAACUACGUGCCAGCAGCCGCGGUAAUACGUAGGGUGCAAGCGUUAAUCGGAAUUACUGGGCGUAAAGGGUGCGCAGGCGGCUCUGUAAGUCAGAUGUGAAAGCCCCGGGCUUAACCUGGGAAUUGCGUUUGAAACUAUAGAGCUAGAGUGCAGUAGAGGGAGGUGGAAUUCCAUGUGUAGCAGUGAAAUGCGUAGAUAUAUGGAGGAACAUCGAUGGCGAAGGCAGCCUCCUGGACUGACACUGACGCUCAUGCACGAAAGCGUGGGGAGCAAACA